GCUGGGCCGAUCCGAAGCCAGGAAGCCUGAAGAGGAGCUUCGUCUGGGUCUCCCACAUGGGAGCAGGGGCCCAAAUACUUUGGCCAUCCUCCUCUGCUUACCCAGGCACAUUAGCAAGGAGCUGGAUUGGAAGUGGAGCAGCCGGGACUUGAACUGGUGCCCACAUGGAAUGCCUGUGAAUCAGGUGGCAGCUUCACCCACUAUGCCACAGCCCCGGUUCCUAGUAAGCUUUUUAAAAUGUCAUUGUUACGGCCGGCGCCGCGGCUCACUAGGCUAAUCCUCCGCCUAGCGGUGCCGGCACACCGGGUUCUAGUCCCGGUUGGGGCGCUGGAUUCUGUCCCGGUUGCCCCUCUUCCAGGCCAGCUCUCUGCUGUGGCCAGGGAGUGCAGUGGAGGAUGGCCCAGGUGCUUGGGCCCUGCACCCCAUGGGAGACCAGGAAAAGCACCUGGCUCCUGGCUCCUGCCAUUGGAUCAGCGCGGUGUGCCGGCCGCAGCGCGCUGGCCGCGGCGGCCAUUGGAGGGUGAACCAACGGCAAAGGAAGACCUUUCUCUCUCUCUCUCUCACUGUCCACUCUGCCUGUCCAAAAAAAAAAAAAAAAAGUCAUUGUUACUAUGGUUGAUAGUGCAUAAUACUGCUUUUCACUUUUAUAUAUUGAUCUUGUUAUCUUGUGACCUUGCUACGUCUUAAGUUCUAGUAGUUCCUUCUAAGCUAUGUGACUUUUUCUUCCCUUACUGCUCUGGCUAAGCGUUCCAACCCAAUUUUGAAUUUAAGUGGCAAAAGCUGAUAUUCUCUUCUAGUUCAUGAUCUUAAGGUUAAGUUUCUAAUCAUUCACUAUGAUGCAGAAUCUUCAGGUAAUAUGCCUAAAUGUUCUUUAUAGGGUUGAGGAAGUUUCCUUUUCUAACUUCAUGAGUUUUAUCAUAAACAGGUCUUGGAUUUUAUCAAGUAAUUUUUCUGUCAUCAUAUGGCUUUAUUAGUAUGUUACAUUGUAUAAUUUCAAAUGUUAAACCAACUUUUCAUUCCUGGGAUAAAUCCUACUAGGUUAUGAGCUUUUUAUAUGUUGAGAAGUUUGGUUUUUAAAUUCUAACUCAUUUGAUGUUAUUUGAUGAGCCCUUCAUCCUGUCAGACCUUUCAGUACUAACCACAAUUUCAAGUCAGUGGUCUGAGUGAUGAUGCUACUGCUAGUUAUAUCCCCUUUGUGACUUACAGGUUUUGUUCAGUUGCGUGCCUACAAUGUGCCGGACAUCAUGCAGUGUUGGGGAUGCAUUAUAGGACAGAACCAAGCCCAUGUCUUCACAGCACUCAUGAAGACAAUCAAAAGGUCUAAACCAACGGUACUCAUGUGGGGAUGCACCAGAGAACAACCUGCAGUGCUUCAGAGAGAGGGCUGAAUCCACCCACCACAGCUGGUGUCCAUGGCCUGUUGUGGAUGAGGUUCAGGGAUCAAGCUUUUCAAAGGUACAACAAAGGGAUUUCUAGUUUGCUACCAGGGCUGAAAGCCACUGAAUUAAGAGAAGCCUAUACUCCUGUCUGCAUGAGGUGUGUUCUAAGAACCCCCAGUAGGUUCCUGAAACCACUGAAUGUACAAACCUUUAUAUUUGUUUUUUCCUACAUGUUUAUCUAUGAUAAAGCUUGUAAAUGAGGCACAGUAACAGAUCAAGAGAUCAACAAUACUAUGAAAGGUGGAUAUGGUUGUCUGCAGCUACUGCAAAAUGCCAUCUCAUAAGCAAGGUGGCCAGUAAGUAACUUUCGGGCAGCAUCAGGCCUCUGCAGCAUGGCGUGCUGGACAAAGGGAGGAUUCAGGACAAGGAGAGACAUCAUGUUACUCAGAGUACUAGUGCAAUAUAAAACUUAUGAAUUGUUUAGUUUUGGAAUUUACCAUUUUCAUAUUUUUCAGACCCCUGUUGAUUGUGGGUAAGAAACCGCAGAAAAAUGAAACUACAAAUAAGGGCGAAUGCUACCAUAUAUAUGCAGACAUAUGUAUCUAUAUAGAUACCUCAAAGAAAAUUCUUAAGAAACCACCUGCAACUAGUGAGGCUGACCCAAUAAAAUCAAAACUAAAACAGAUGUUGAAUAUAUACAAUUUAUUUAAUAAAUUAAUGUCAUUCAAAAUACAGUGCCAGAACAUUAUGCAGUUGAACAUGCUAGUAAUGUUUGUCAUGAAGCACCUGUGCUCAUGUUAAAUUGGCGGCGCCCCACUACUGCUAGUGGUUCCUGGGAUUAAUGCCAGAGCAGUGCGAGUUACCUGCUCUUCUGCACAGCUUGUGCAGAAAAUUCCUGAACAGUUCACCUUCCUAAUCCUACCCCCACAACACACACACACAACAGGU